rnacentral:misc_RNA from 1 species
GAUGAAGAACGUAGCGAAAUGCGAUAAGUAAUGUGAAUUGCAGAAUUCAGUGAAUCAUCGAAUCUUUGAACGCACAUUGCGCCCAUUAGUAUUCUAGUGGGCAUGCCUGUUCGAGCGUCAUUUCAACCCUUAAGCCUAGCUUAGUAUUGGGAAUCGACUUUACUGUCGUUCCUCAAAUUCAACGGCGGAUUUAUAGCAAUCUCUGAACGUAGUAAUUUUUUUCCUCGUUUUUGAAAUACUAUAAACCUCAGCCGCUAAACCCCCAAUUUUUCUAUGGUUGACCUCGGAUCAGGUAGGAAUACCCGCUGAACUUAAGCAUAUCAAAAGCGGAGGA